UUUUUUUAUUUUUUUCUUCGGUUUAUUUUCGAUAGAUCGGUUUUUCUGAUGGUUUAUUUAUUUUGCGGACGUUCGUCCGUUCAUUCGUUUAAACGAACGCGUUCACUCGUUAGUCACAGACAGCGAACGUUCGUUCGUUAGCCUGUUCGUCAGUUUUCUUUUUCUCGGAUUUUUCGCGAUUAUUUCCGAUCGCGAUUUCUGAUCCGAUUUUCGUUUUAGCGUAUCUUUUCGCUCGUUUAUCAAAAUGAGGCAAUUCAAGCGCCUAGAUCUUCGUCUCGAAGCCCUCUUUCCGCUUAACCAACUUGAACAAGAUUUUGGUACUGUAAAAUUUGACUUUAGUCUAGAUUAGUAAACGGAUCUUGUUUCUUUCGCAGUUUGUGUUUCGUUGCUCCGUUUGAUUUGAUUCUUUUUGCAAACCGGAGUUCUUAAGUUGAAAUUUCUGGUUAGAUCUUGUUAUUUGAGUUUUACCCGUGCAUCUUUGCUUGAUUGCUUAUGUAUGUUAUUGUUUGUUUGCGAUAGAAUUCCCGGAGUGCGAAGCAUGCUACUACGAGUCACUAGGUUUUGCGGAUCGUCAGCAAGGCAAGUAACACAUUGAUCAUACUCUUUUCAUACCCAGUUUUUAUGCAUUAGUUCCAAUCCUCAAACACUGCAUGAUUAGGAUGUGAUUAACUUGUGGGUAUUGGGAAGUAGUUGAUGAGGUAGAACCUAUUACCUGUUUUAUUAUCAAACCCUUGGGAGUUACUUUUACGUUGUGCGUAUUGUCAUGCUAUGCUCGUAGACGUGGUUUGGUGAGUGAAUCCAUGACAGAUGUGAGAUUGUUAAUUAAUGGUUCAACUUAAGGUGGCUACUUCAAUACACAUCUGGGUGGAUUGCUUGUUUGGGCACCUGGGGAAUCCAGUGUUGUCCUAGGAGAUCCCGGGGUAUCCGUGUGAUCAUCCUACGGUCCACCACCCAAGCUCAAAGGGAUCGUGAGAUAUUUCAUGCUAGAAACUUCCGUGUGCAGCCACAAGCUAUUAUGGGCUCUAGCAUAGUUGAGUAUGUUGCAUGACCUCUUCCAGUGGUAGGCUAGCAGAUGUAGAGGGAUGUAGGUUGGUACUGUCUACCCGGGGUUAGAGUUAAUGCUUCUGAAAGACUGUGUCUCGGUCAUCCGUUUCUCAAACACCAUGUAGUGCAAGAAAUCCAACGGAGGAGAUCGAGUCUUGUGGGGAAAAGUGUGCAAACCUCUGCAGAGUGUACAAUCUAAUCAUGGUUAGUUGUGUCCCCGGUUAUGGACAAUCUUGAGUAUCUAGUAUUUGGAUUAUCAAAUGUAUCUCAUCACUCUAUUUUAAUAUGUAGGAUUGAUAAUUACUUUUAAUUGGGAUUGAGUUGGAGGUACCUUCUCAAUGAUGUUUCAACUACCAUGAUAGUUAAAUAAAAUCUAUUCCUUUGUUGUAGGGAAAAAUUGGCUUUGCGCAAAAACAUAUAACCAUAGAGCAUCCACCAGCCAUAUAUGCAUGUAGUGAUAGCUUUUAUCUGUUCAUUGCUCUACUGUGUUACAUUGCCAGCAUAUUCCAUGUGCUAACCCGUUUUGGGGCUGCAACGUAUCAUGUUGCAGACUUUUCAAACAACGAGUAAAGGUGCGAUAGGUCGUUGUCAUGCACUCAGCUAUGCCGUUGGAGUUGAUGGACUCACUUUAUCUUCCAAGCCUUCCGUUGUUAUCGUAUUAGAUGGCCUUAAGCCAUAUUUAUUGUAAUAAGUUCUCUUUUUUGAGACAUUCGAUGUAAUAAGUGUGUGAUUGCUACUCUGCUAUAAAUCCUUCGAGUACUGUGUGUGUCAGCAUUACCGAUCCAAGGAUGGCACUGAAGCACAGAGACUUGACCAUCUGAGGUCGGGUCGGUACAGUACCAAAGUUGUACUACUACUACUAGUAGGAGUAGUAGGAACAUGAUUACACUCCCGUGCUAGCAUGCCUCUGGGUUCACUUCAUCCUCCAGCUAUCAUCCAUAUUGCGAGCAGAACCAAAUUCUCGUGCAUGCGGAAGCGCGAAGAAGGACUUUUCUUUUUUUGAGGAUAACCGCAUAUUCCUUAACCGUAGUAGGAACAUGAGUAGUACUCCCUCCGGUCCUCUUUUGUUUGCGCAUAACUUUUUUCAGUAUUUCUCUAAUUAGUCUGCGUAUAUACCCUUUUGCAUGCGCCCAUUUCCCUCCAUGCCCCGCAUUCACAGCAUUAAUUAGCGUACGCAUGAGCAGCUACAGCCCGACUCCAGCCAAUAAACUGCAGCAUGCAAGUGGGCCACUCUGUGCGCAUGGGAGAGAGAAAAGGCAGCCGAAGAGCCCGUCCAAUCCAUUGCAUGCAGCAGUCAAACCACCGCACCUCUCCUCAUGCAUGCGCAUAACUUCUCCCAUUUACUUCUCCAUCGGGAACCGAUUUUCCUCGGCUUUUUCACUACUCCUUGAUCUUCAUUUGCAUCCAAACCACACUACAUUCACAUUGUUUUAACCUCUUCACAUCCUCCUGGAGUAAUUCCGAAGCCCCUAUAAAUAAUCAUCUUCUUCAGUUAGAUUAUCCAUCUAAUCCUAAUUCUCCAAACCAUAGCCCUCCGGUCCAGCGGUUGCAAAUGGCGAAAGAGAUCGGGAUGCAGGUUUUUAGCGUCCAACAUGUCCUCGUCGAAGGCUCGUUGAGCAUAGUUGCCACACUCACCGACCACCCAAGGGUUGUUCGGAAGUGGAUCAACAAUGUAUCCAACUCCCUCCAAAAGGUGGAGAUGAAUGUCAUCGGUCUCGACGCAGAGUACACGGAGCGUGCCACUGGGAAGAUCCAACGCGCCGAUGUCCUUCAGUUGUGCCUCGAACAUGAUGUUUUGGUGUACCACAUCAUACACGCGCCCUCCAUACCAGGUGAGCUUCACGAUUUCUUGUCUCAGGAGGACAUAUACUUCUGUGGGGCAGCCAUCGCAGGGGACAAACAGAAGUUGGAGCUGUACAACCUUUAUUUGAAAAGCAUCGCUGACCUACAAACCAGAAUAAAAAUUCCUGUAGAAGAUUGUGAUAAACCGACACCAUCCCUAUUCGACGUAGCAAAUUUUGUGCUAGGAACAAAUCUUCAGAAGGGUGACGAGACGCUGGCAUUAAGGUCAUCUGGAUGGGAGAAUUAUCCCUUGACGUACGAGCGGAUAAAAUAUGCUACCCUCGAUGCCCGUGUGAGUUUCGAGAUAGCUGCAAGGUCCAGAGAGCUUGUUGCGAAGCCGUCGCCCACAGAAAAUGAGAACAAGAACAAGAAGAAGAAGAAGAAGAAGAAGAUGCUGCACCAGCAGCAGGGCCUUAUGGAUGGAUGAACUAUUUCCUCUCUUGUAAAAAAAAUAUUCCCUCUCUAUGUAUGUUGAUAUAGAUGGAUUGUUUCAAUGGUGUGCAUGUCUUUGGAACAAGUAGUAGCGUGGGUCCGCUUGACUAUAAGGAACUAUUUAUCCACCUAGCUUUCUCUACUACUCCUUCUAGUGAUCGGUAUGCAAUGCAUGUGUCCGUAGACAUGACAGCUUGGCCAUGGAAGUUCAACUACGGCGACCAUCACGUUUCAUCCACUGCCGCUCGCGAUUCCCACAACGCCGCUCCAACCCACGGCACCACGUCCCCCGACGUGCGCCUCACCCCUCUCGGCUGCACCGCCCCUCUGCCUUUGUGUGCAUGACAUGUGGGCCACCUUAAAUGCGGCGAGCAUCAAGUUUCUACCACAGCCACACGCGAUUCCCACGACGCCGCACGAACCCAUGACACCACACGUCCCGCGCCAUCGAAUUUUCAUCCAGUGGCUGUGACACAUUUCGUCCCGGGCAUCAAUCCUCAGCUGGAGUACUUCUGUACUACAGGUAGUACCCGCCGGUGUGGCCAUCUAUGCCUCGUAACGCCCCGACGCCCAGCUGUGGCACCCUCACCACGGUCACGCCACCACCGGCCGGUUCAUCUCGAACGAGUGAGUCGCGAACCACACCACCACCAUGAGAAUGACAUGUGGGCCAGCCGCAUUUAACGUCCGCAUGUCAUUGACUCAGAGCAUGGUUAAUAAUAUAGCCGGCUGCUGGCUAUAUGAUGUUGCCACGUCACAUAUAGCCAAGCUUGUAACCAGCAAGUACAAUAGUUGAAUAUUAAUAUGUAUUACUUUAUUGUUACAUGACCCACCUCGCUCUCUCAUAAAAUGCCUAGGAGCACGUGCUGCAGCCGGCUGUUAACUAGUAGCCCGCUUCUCUUCUCUUUCAUCUUCUCUCUCGUCCAACUAAGAAAAAAUAUAAUAUUUAAUGUCUUAUAGCCCGCCUACAUCACCUUAUUGUACUUGUUCUCAUAGGUCGGGCACUAAGCCACUGAAGUUCGGUCCCGUGGGCCCCGAGAAGGAAAUGUAACUCCUGCGGCAGGCCUUGUGGUGCUCCCGCAGUACGAGCUCGUGCCAAACCCGGAAUUUACACGUGCAUUGCACGCAUGAGAUUCUGGUGGUUUAUGCAUUAUGCUUCUACAUGUGGAGUCUUCUAGAUUCUACAUGUGGCAAAAUCUGGUGGAAUGUAGGUGAUAUCCAACGGCCAGUAGUGCUCAGAUUUGCCAUCUUUGUACCAUCGGAUUGGCUUCAUCCAACGACCAACUUUCAAAGUUAUGGUUUGGUUUGCAGCCUAAGGUUGCCACGCCUAAGCUUAGGCGUGCCGGCAUGUGUUUGGUUCAUUGCUACACUUGUGGCUUGCCACACUUUUCUAGCUACAUGGUCCACAUGUCAUAGACUCAACUUCUUGCCAAAUCUUGCCACACUUGUGGUGGCCAUUUUGUUAGCCACAUUUUUUGUGGCAGACACACUUUGCCUAAGCUUAGUUGUGGCAAAGUUAGUCAUGAAUGAAGUUCAACCAUGGAGUCUUCUAGAUUCUACAUGUGGCGGAAUCUGGUGGAAUGUAGGUGAUAUCCAACGGCCAGUAGUGCUCGGAUUUUCCAUCUUUGUACCGUUGGAUUGGCUUCAUCCAACGACCAACUUUCAAAGUUAUGGUUUGGUUUGCAGCCUAAGGUUGCCACGCCUAAACUUAGGCGUGCCACAAGUGUGUUUGGUUGCGUUCUCGUCUCAGCAUAGUUGUUCCCUCUUCAUGCAUGCUCAACUCAACACCCCUCUUCAUGUAUGCUCUCUUCAUGCAUGCUUCUAGUGUAUUUGUGCUAAUCUAGUGUGGACUCAUGCACCCUCCAUACACUCUACCAAACACCCAAAAAUGGGUCGAGAAGGGAACUCUCGGGAUCAUGCACCCUUCAUACACCCUACCAAACACACCAGGCAUGUGUUUGGUUCAUUGCUACACUUGUGGCUUGCCACACUUUUCUAGCUACAUGGUCCACAUGUCAUAGACUCAACUUCUUGCCAAAUCUUGCCACACUUGUGGUGGCCAUUUUGUUAGCCACACUUUUUGUUUCAGACACACUUUGCCUAAGCUUAGUUGUGGCAAAGUUAGUCAUGAAUGAAGUUCAACCAUGGAGUCUUCUAGAUUCUACAUGUGGCAGAAUCUGGUGGAAUGUAGAUGAUAUCCAACGGCCAGUAGUGCUCGGAUUUGCCAUCUUUGUACCGUCGGAUUGACUUCAUCCAACGACCAACUUUCAAAGUUAUUCACACACUAUAUAGGGGGUAUAGAUAUAGAUGUGUCGGCCCGUUGCAAUGGAUCCGAAGUAUAUCUGUUUAGUGGAGUGCACUCUAAACACAUUAUCUAUUUAUUUUUCUCUAACCUUUCAUAGCCAUGCAACCAAGCCACAUAAGCUUCAUGGGUGCCCCCACAUCAUAUUAUUCAUACUACGUUGACAGAAAAAAAGAUAAAUCACCCAAAACAAGAUCUUCCCUUUUUUGUUCCUACGAUGCUGUGUCGUGCACGUACCUACUAGUUGUAUAGUGGUAGUACUAGUUGUAUAGUACAAACUUGGUACUAGUAGGAGCAGAGUAGUACGGAAUGCUCCUACUCUAUCAACGAGCCCCAUCUGACACCAAAUUUCUUGGCUUCCGUGCUACAGCUAGAUCUUCCCCUCGUUUCUGUUUUCCAACCCGGCGGCGGGCGGGUUGCGGUUUGCCAAUAGUCGGUUUGCUCAACGGCGGUCCCACAUGAAAGUGAAAAUGCUAGGCAACACGCCUUCCCUAAGCUAUGUGUCGUGUCAGACGGGCCGUGGAGUACUCCCGAUUCCCGGGCGUGUGGGGGGGAGUGCGACGCGAACGCGGCAGGCCUUUUCCUUUUACUAGCAAUGUGCCCGUGCGUUGCGACGGAUCCAAAGUAGUAGAAUAGUAAUACUUGUUCACAAACUUGAAAGAAAUCACUCUUGUUUUGAUAUACUCCUAAUAUAUUACUCCCUCCAUUCCUAAAUAUUUGACUUUUUAGAGAUUUCAAAUGGACUAUCACAUACGGAUUAUAUAGACAUAUUUUGAAGUGUAGAUUCACUCAUUUUGCUCCGUAUGUAGUCACUUAUUGAAAAAUCUCUAGAAAGACAAAUAUUUAGGAACGGAGGGAGUACUUUUCACUCAAAAUACAUUUCUCAGGCUGUUUUGAUGAGGUGAGGGAGGGAUGUGGUUGCUUUCAAGUUAAUAAGGGGUUUUCUGCAAAUUGGAGCAGAGAAGUGGGCUAUUGUUGCAAAAAUGCCACAACUUACCUCACAGCCGUUAGAUGAAGAUCUAAUGGUCAGAAACGAUGUAUGGCAGACACACCACCAUCACCAACUGAGUCUUUUAUAGAAGUAUAUAUUUCUCACGCUGUUUUGAUGAGGUGAGGGAGGGAUGUGGUUGCUUUCAAGAUAAUAAGGGGUUUUCUGCAAAUUGGAGCAGAGAAGUGGGCUAUUGUUGCAAAAAUGCCACAACUUACCUCACAGCCGUUAGAUGCAGAUCUAAUGGUCAGAAACGACGGAUGGCAGACACACCACCAUCACCAGCUGAGUCUUGUAUAGGAGUAGGAGUAGAGAAACAUUUAUAAAUUGUAACAUUUUGGUUCUGCUCCUUGGCACGAUCGAUAGAUAGAAAUAACGAUUGGAAACGCUAGGGCGAGGCUAUUUCCGCCAGAUAAGCAGGGUACGUAGUAGCUAGGUUGGCGCAUCAUUGGUUUGGUCACACGCGGUCCGACAUGUUCUAGUGUUUCUAGCAAGAUGCCCGCGCGUUGCACGAAGUUGAUGGAAAAGGUAAGACAACUUAUAAAUUGACGGAUGGAGUACUAGUUACAGUGAUGCAUAUAAUUAAGCAAAGGUAUCACACAUGUCGGUAUUGACUGGAACGAGAAUGCAACACCACAAUAAGAAUUAAGGCCACGAUGAUGAUGUGAUCGCAGUGGUGGUUACAGAAGGCAUGAAGAAAGAUGCAUCCAUCAACGUACGACCUCCUCCUCCUCAACUUAGUGCCCCGGGCCACCAACCGGCAGCUAAGGAGCGGCGGCUUUUGUGGCGAGGUCGAGGUGCUUCUCAGCAAAGGCAUCCAAGGCUUCCAGCCGGUUGAGGAAGGCCAACGUCGCAGCGUCCUCACUGGCCUUGUAGAUACCUAUGUACACGAUUUGCUCGUACACGUGGAUGUGUAGGUCGACGAAUUCUUGCAGGGCGAGGCGCCUUGCGGCGAGCGCGACCUCCAGGUGGACAUUCUUCGUGGCAUCGGUGGGCAGUCGUGCUUGAAAGAGGUUCCGGCCAUGGAGGCCGAUUAGGGUGGCAGGCAAUGAGGAGCCCGGGUGCGCGGGCUGGAGGAGUACGGCGAUGUCGUCCGCGAGCUUCUUGAGGACGGUGAACUUGUUGGUGGUGGCAACGAUCAUCUAGUCCAACUGAGAGUCGUAGUUUGCAUCGACGGCGGCCAUCCACCAACCGGUCUCCAACACCGUCUGGAGACGAUCCUCGGCGCCAUGCCGCAGGCCGACGUCGUGGACCAUCUGGCACAGCCGCUGGUCACUCGCGCGCAUCGCCGCCAUGGGUCUGGAAUGAGCUCUUUUGCGCUUAGUGUAGGUGCUUGGGCAAAUGCUUAGGUGCGUACGAUGUGGAGAUGCAUUGGAAUGGAGGGGCGCCUUUAUAUGAGGGCAAACUGCGUUGCAUUCACAUCGUGCAGCCUCUUUUCCGGUCCUCCUCCCAUUACUUCCCUCAUGCAUUAAUUGAAGGAGGAUGCAUUGGUCGUUCAACAUUUCGGGAACCGCUACUCCCUCGCUCGUCUGCAUUAAAGCUGUAUCAGGAACUGCGCCACCUGCUGUGAAAUCGAAUAGUAGUACUGCGCUGCCCGCUGCACGCCCGGCUGAACACGCCUCCUCGCCUCCAUCAAACCCCUCCGUUAAACCCGCAUGCAAACCAAGAAACCUACUCCGGCCACACGUCCGUUCAUGAGCGGGCCAGAAUUAAAGGCAGCACCGACCGAGCUCCUCCCGUCCGCCCACAGUUUAAACGAAGCCAGACGCCGGCCAAGCUCCUAGCGUCCGCCCUCUAUUUACACGAGGCCAGACAGACAGCAGGCAAGAAUCGCACCCCUCCGCCGCUCCCCCAUCUCCGCCUUCACCAAUUUCUCCACUCUUCCGAUGGCUUCCGAGGAGCCGCUCUCCGGCAUAUUACCCGGCUGGGUGGCCCGCCGAGCCCUCCGGAUACGGGCGAGGCCGCUCGGUGCUUCACCAACCUCGCUUGGCCCGACGGAGCCAGUUGCCGCCCCAAGCAGGCGCGUGGUUCAGCAACUCACCGCUCCAGUUUAGCUCGAUGAGGAGUGGCGAGUUGCUCCACGCCGGCACGGCGGCGAGCACACCGGUACGGGCAUCGUCGCUGCCGCGUCGUACCGCGCCUCCCGUGUCUGUGGGCGCGCCUCCCGUGCCUGCGGCAGCGCCAUGCAGGCAGAGACAGAAGCCGGGUGCGUGGACAGCGACGAGUCGGUGGCCAGCUUCUCCGUGUCCUCCGCCAUCAUCGAGGAGAAGUAGAACACGGGAGGCCGCCGCCAUUUGGGUCCCAUGAAGGCCACCGCCGAGGCGACGACUACGCAUUCAGGUGGUUUCUUUGCUUCUUCGUCUCUUCCAAGGACCUUCGUCGACCCCGCAAAGUGUCUGCCCGACAUGAGGAAGACAAAGGGAUCCGCGGGCGGCCAUUUAGAUUAUGUAGUCCCUCUCCAGCUGGUGGGAUUUUAUUUUUCUAAGAAUGGAUAAAUUGUAUGUAUCUAUAACUAAAAUAAGUGUAGAUACAUCCAUUUCUAGGACAAGUGUUUCCGGACGGUGGGAGUAUUAAUUAUACCAAGAUAGCCGGAUUGGCACCGCUUAGUUCAUGUAAAUGUAAUGAAAUCCAUCAUGUUUAUAUGAAGAUCCGGCUUUUUAUAUGAAAUCCUUCAUGCUUAUAUGAAAUCAGUCCGUGUUUGCACGAAUUUCAUCUGGUUGGUUAGAGUUGUGAAAAUGUAUGCCGCUGGCGUUUGAUGUCGUCCUCCGUGGAAGGAAACGGGAGGAAAUUUGCCGGAUGCCGUUGGAGAUGCUCUUAUGCUGGAAAUAAUAGAGUGACAUCCAAUCCAUUUGAGUUAAUUGUGUGUAUGAUUGUCCCUCUAUAAAAAGUUAAUUGCAUGUACAGUGUACACGUGACUUGCAGGGUGGCUACAGCUUCAUACAGAAAGUUAAAAAGAAACAAGUCCAUCCUUAAUCUUGUAUUCUAAGUACUCUGUGGGUUCCACUGUCAGUACAGUAGCGAAAGAAGUAUAUAUUAAAUAACUAAUAUAUAAUAUAAAAAUCUAAAGUUAAAGACAGAAUUUGAACUCAUGUCAUCGCGUUGCGAGCAUGCGGCGCUAACCAGUCCAGCACAUUUUUGUUGUAGACCAUGAUGCUGAUAUAUCUCCAUGUCUACUCUUAUACUCCAUCCGUUCCUAAAUAUUUGUCUUUUUCAGAUUUCAAAUGGACUACCACAUACGGAUGUGUAUGUAGACAUAUUUUAGAGUGUAGAUUCACUCAUUUUGCUCCAUAUGUAGUCACUUGUUGAAAUCUCUAAAAAGACAAAUAUUUAGGAACGGAGGGAGUAGAAAACAGAGUUGGUGAUGAUGGUGUGCGUGCCAUCCUGCAAUAUAGGCCGUCGGAUUUAUAUCUAACGGAUUGGAAGAAAACUAUGGCAAUUUUGCAAAAAUUUACCCACACCCUCUUCACGUUCGCAAAUACGGGCUUCCCUCGUUCAUCCUUUUCUCUCACAAGAUAAACUACUCAUACAAAUGCAUCUUGAUUUUCCGUGCAACGCACGGGCAUCUAGCUAGUUUCUUUUAAAAUAGUUACUGCGAUAAUUGGGUUGAAGUGAUAUAUUUUAUGUCUGCCCCGAAUGAUUUAGGAUUCACUAGUAGUAACAAAGAAAAGGUUGCCUUGUUAAUUAACAGAAAACAGGGUGAAAACUAUCACAUGAGGCCGGUAAAAACGAGGCACACUGGGUUCAACGUUAUCGUCACUACAGCUGUGUGCGCGCGAGAAGUCUACGUAUCGAGGGGGCUACUGAGCGAGGCACAGAGACACAAUGUUCAAGAGAGAAACCAAUUGACAGAUUACGAUCAGAUUGAGUUGUCACCCUUCUGCUGUCAUNNNNNNNNNNNNNNNNNNNNNNNNNNNNNNNNNNNNNNNNNNNNNNNNNNNNNNNNNNNNNNNNNNNNNNNNNNNNNNNNNNNNNNNNNNNNNNNNNNNNNNNNNNNNNNNNNNNNNNNNNNNNNNNNNNNNNNNNNNNNNNNNNNNNNNNNNNNNNNNNNNNNNNNNNNNNNNNNNNNNNNNNNNNNNNNNNNNNNNNNNNNNNNNNNNNNNNNNNNNNNNNNNNNNNNNNNNNNNNNNNNNNNNNNNNNNNNNNNNNNNNNNNNNNNNNNNNNNNNNNNNNNNNNNNNNNNNNNNNNNNNNNNNNNNNNNNNNNNNNNNNNNNNNNNNNNNNNNNNNNNNNNNNNNNNNNNNNNNNNNNNNNNNNNNNNNNNNNNNNNNNNNNNNNNNNNNNNNNNNNNNNNNNNNNNNNNNNUGUGUGUUUGAAAGAGGAGUAGAUAGAUUACUAUCAAGAUCGAGGUGCCGCCCUACUCCUUCGGUGUCGGGUAGUGUGUGUGCGUGUGUGUGUGUUUGAGAGAGAAGCCAGUCGAUAGAUUAGUAUCAAGAUCGAGGUGUCACCCUACUCCUUCGAUGUUGGGAAGUGUGUGUGUGUGUGGUUGUGUGGUUGUGGGUGUGUGUGUCGGGGGGGCGGGGGGACAGUGACACUUACAUAUCCCUACUCUUAUAAAAAAUAGAGUUGGUGAUGAUGGUGUUCCUGCCAUCCUGCAAUAUAAGCCAUCCGAUUUAUACCCGACGGAUAGGAAGGAAAUUGUGGCAAUUUUGCAAAAAGAUACCCACACCCCUCUCCGCAUUUGCAAAUAAGGCAUUCCCUCAUUCAUCCUUUUCUCCCACAAGAUAAACUACUCAUACAAAUGCAUCUUGAUGUUCGGUGCAACGCAUGGGCAUCUUGCUAGUAGGGAGAAGGAGCUUGUGUGACACAUAUCUAGCUAUAUUAAGGGAUAGGUAGAUAGCAUUUGUGCGAGGCAUACUUAAAGCAUCACGAAGAUAAACAAAAUUGUGUGCAUGCAAGUGCCGGAAAAAAUGAAGCGAGAAACAAUGUGUUGGAGAGAGAGAAAUCUCAAAACAAAAGGUGCUCUGUUGGAAUCCCAUUGUAUGUAUUCAUAUGGUUCCAGAACUCGAGUUAACCUUAGGCAUAUGUGUGAGAGACAUUAUUAUACUUUGAGACAUUAGUGGCUUUGGGUGGGCGGAAUUAAAGGGGUGGGCGUGUUCGACAGAGAGAGCGUGUGUGUUUCUGUGUGAGAGACUUGUAGGACGGGGUAGAAAGACGAAUUCUAACCUUGACGGAGGGAGAGAAAUACACGAAGUGCGCGUGUGUGAUUCCGAUGACCACAGGGAAAUAAGAUAUGUAUGCGUGUGAGAGAGAUUGCACAAUUCAUUCACGUAACACUAUCUAGCGAUCGUGGAUGUGCAUCGCUUGAACAUAAAUCAGUAUCUACUUCGUAUCGUGGCCAAAGGUACAAUAUCGAUUCAACGCUAUAAAGAUUGGACACUCACAUAUCACAUUUUUUCUAUUUAAAUAAACCUUUUCAUUUGUGCAUGCCAAAGUUACAGUGAUGUUUCUUUAAACAACCAAUGUAGCUAUCAUGUACAUGCACCAUUGUUACUCUUGCAUUCAAAAUCAUUAGUCUUGGAUGAUUUAAGGUUCUAUUAUGAAGUAAUAUAUGUAAUAUUCAUAUAUGAAUUCAACGGGUACGCAAUUUAUGAAAUGGAGGCUAUGUAAUCAUAUGAGGUAACACUUUUAAGUAGCGGACUUCUUUUUGUGCGCCUCUACACUAACACGUCAAUGCAUUAUGUUUAAAGUAAAUAACCAAUUACACUAAAUUAUCUAUUUACACGAGAAAUACAAAGGCUGAGCGUUUGAUCCCUUUUUUCUGAACGCGCCACUACACCCGUACGAUUGGUCGCGCCCGUGUGAACGUCCAAGUUAUCGGCGCAUCAUCCCGCGUUAUUGUCUUUUUUUCUGGGGUGGACACGCCAGUUAUUAACUGCUGACGCGUGCCCCGUGUACACAGUCUCGCAUGACCUUCCCGAUAGCACGGUCCAAAAUUAGUUGAUACUGGAUACGAACGAUCCCGCGGGCGGCAAAAUCUCCCGCCUCCUUCUAAAAUUUCCGCCACCUUAGUCUUUAGCAUGCCAAAUUCCCCUUUUGUCCUUUGGUGCACGGAGACCAACAGUUACAAUACCGCCCUCAUCUACAUAAUAGGUCGGGUCUGCUUCGGUAACUUCCAGUUCCCCCCACUACACGGCACCCCCAUUUCCUCUCCCCCUGCCGCAAAAAUGACUAACUCCACAGCACCAGAGCAUCUCACAUCACGCCGUCCGUACUUCAUCGGCCUUUCUCCCCUCCCCUCUUGAAACCCUAGACUGCUCAUCCACCGGCGUGCCAGAGCCCAUUCACUGCCAGCGGCGUCCACCCCGCCGGAUCUGCUUCUGAGGCCGCAUCUACGCCUCCCACCUCCCCUAGAAACAAGUAGACUGCUCAUCCACCACUGUACCACAACCCAUUCAGUGCCGGCCUUGUCCACGGCGCCAGAUCUGCUUCGCCGGUACUCUCNNNNNNNNNNNNNNNNNNNNNNNNNNNNNNNNNNNNNNNNNNNNNNNNNNNNNNNNNNNNNNNNNNNNNNNNNNNNNNNNNNNNNNNNNNNNNNNNNNNNNNNNNNNNNNNNNNNNNNNNNNNNNNNNNNNNNNNNNNNNNNNNNNNNNNNNNNNNNNNNNNNNNNNNNNNNNNNNNNNNNNNNNNNNNNNNNNNNNNNNNNNNNNNNNNNNNNNNNNNNNNNNNNNNNNNNNNNNNNNNNNNNNNNNNNNNNNNNNNNNNNNNNNNNNNNNNNNNNNNNNNNNNNNNNNNNNNNNNNNNNNNNNNNNNNNNNNNNNNNNNNNNNNNNNNNNNNNNNNNNNNNNNNNNNNNNNNNNNNNNNNNNNNNNNNNNNNNNNNNNNNNNNNNNNNNNNNNNNNNNNNNNNNNNNNNNNNNNNNNNNNNNNNNNNNNNNNNNNNNNGACAACAUCGUCAACCCCACCGGAGUAGCUUCGCCUAUACCAUUUUCAACCCUACCAGGGCCGCUUUGCCAACUCACAAGUCCACGGCCUCAGAUCCGCUUCCUCGCACCCUCAUCCAACCUACCGGAGCAGCUUCUGACGCCCCGUCCACGGCCGCAGAUCCGCAUCGUCGACACCGUCCUUAACCCAACCACCGGAGCAGCUUCACCUACGCCCUCGUCCAUGGCCACUGAUCCGCUUCGCCCACACCGUAGUCCACCCUACCGGAGCCGCUCCACAAACACCCUACUCGACGGUUCUAGAUCUCCUUACCGGACCCCGACUGCCAGCGCAGCGUCAUCACACUUGACGUUUCUAACCUGAUUCCCACCGUCUGGCAAGAUGCCAAGCACCCGCCACGGCCUAGGUACUUGUCACCUUUAAACCCGUCCAGCAUCACCUGCCCGAUGUACUUCAAAUAUACUAACAGGUCGCUUUUACCUGUUAUGCAGCUAGCAAAAACUACAAGGACGAUGUUUCUUCUGGAUCUAACAGCUUGGCCAACCAAGAUCCUGGACCGAGGCAUUGUUAUGAUCUUGUAAGCGUGUCUCUCUCUCUUGUAUUGUACUGUGCCUGCCAGCGUGCUUUGCUAGGAUUUUUGACCAAUAUUCCCUUUGUGCAGACAAUGAUUUCUACUACUGGCUGCUAAAUUAGAUAUGUAGAUGUCAUACAUGAUACUACCUCGUACCUCCGUUCCUAAAUAUAAGUCUUUCUAGAGAUUCCAAUAUAGGCUACAUACGGAGCAAAAUGAGUGAAUCCACACUCGAAAAUGCAUCUAUAUACAUCUGUAUGUGGUCCAUACUGGAAUCUCUACAUAGACAUAUAUUUAGGAACAGAGGCAGUACAUUACACAAAAUCGUAGGUGGCAUGUAGGAAUUCCAGUACACUACAUUAGGCUCCCUUAGAGUGCCUGCUAGUCCAGCACACAGAGUCAUGGCUAGUUUAUACUACGCACACAAUCAUUAAUUGGUGGUUUAAAUAUGCGCAAGGGAUGUGCAAUGUAUUAUCAUGUAGAGAUGUCUGAAAUUAGCCGUGCCAACUUGCAGAUUGGGUUACACAAUGAAAAAGUAUAAGAUGUAUGUGGCAAUUUCAUGGAACAUCGCAAAAAAAGGAGAGCCAGCGGUGAGCCUAUACAGUGUGCUAUGGUACGUCACUCCUUCAUUGCAAUCAUCGUGACAUGUUAUUUGUAUGUCAGUUCUAUUGGCCAAGUUUCUUAGGGACAGUUAUUACGAGUUAUCCUAAGAAAAUAAGCACCUGUGAAUAUAAGCUCCAUGUAAUAAGCCAACCAGUUCUUUUCAUUGCGUUUUCAGCUUAUCUUUGGUAUGAUAAGUGAAAAGUCUAGAUUGCAUUAUAUUUUUUCAUUUUGCUGCCCAUAUGAAAAAAAAUUGACUUGCAAACAUCACAAAUUGAACCCAGUGUAGUAAUUAAUAUGGUAGGAAAAUAGACCGUCACUAUUUGCUCAAAAUGCAAAUACAAAGAUACCAUCUACUUGGCACAAUCUACUUUGGUCAAUGUUUUCCAUAGAGAUCCCAUUGCCUAAUUUAAACGAAAAACGCAUGACCCACAUUUAAAUGAAGAGCAAUUAUUUAUUGAAAUUCGAUGGUCCAAGUGGAUGGUUAUUAUCAUAUAGCAGCACCACCUGAAAGCAUCAUGUAGCAGCAGCAACAGCUCAUAGAACUCAUCAUACAGCAGCAGCAGCAGUGUGCAAUUCAUCAUAUACCAGCAGCAGCUCAUAGCAAUUCAUCAUAUAGCAGCAGCAGGAGCAGCUCAUAGCAAUUCAUCAUAUAGCAACAGCAGGAGCAACUCAUAGCAAUUCAUCAUACAGCAUCAGCAGGAGCAGCUCAUAGCAAUUCAUCAUACAGCAGCAGCGGGAGCAGCUUAUAGCAACUCGUCAUAUAGCAGCAGCAACAACUCAUAGCAAUUCAUCAUAUAGCAGCAGCAGCUCAUAGCAAUGCAUCAUAUAGUAGCAGCAGAAGCAGCUCAUAGCAAUUCAUCGUAUAGUGGAUCAGAAUGAAAAUUUGGCAAAAAUCGGAGGAGAUCCUCACCUUGUUGGAUGAGCUCAUCCUUCAAUAGCACCUCAAGGCCACGGCCUGGGAGGUGGGGAGGGGGAAUAAGGUGCCUUCUGCCGCAGUGUGGCAUCAGCCGUAGUUGUGCAGCGCCUGCCGGAGUAGUGCGUUGGACGAACCACAGUGGAGCAGCUACUGGAGACCAUGAGAAUGAGGGGUGGCACCAGAGGGAGGAGCAGCCAGGGAGAUUUGCCCCUACCCGCCGGCCAUGUAGCCUAGCUGGACAGAGCAUCGUCGAGGACCAGUCCAGAUGGGACCAGUGGCGACGGCUUGCUGGAGGAACCCUAGUGCUGCAGGCAGGGGAUCGAGGUAGAGGGAAAGGGGAGAGGAGAUGCAAGCGGACAGGGCAGUGAACGCUUGCGUGUUUGUUUUUAAUUGAGGGUGAGGUGUGACGCGGGCGUCACCAGUUGCAUUUUGAGUGUAAUAUAGGCAGACAACAGAGCCAUUUCACUAUUCCCCUUCCCUUCAAUUUUUAGUGAGGUUCUACCCGAAACACCCCCCUCCAAAGCGAAAUUAGUUAAGCCCAAGCCCAUAACUCAAAAAUGACUUCUUUACAUCUUUUAUGGCUUAUUUUGACAAUAAGCCCUGAAAAGGCGGAAUAGAACUGGCCCUUAACCUGCAAUUCAAUUGUGCGUGCAAUGAUGAAUCACUCCUGCCUGCUAUAGUGUACAUUUAGGCAUCAUCAUACAUGGCAUAACCUAAUACAUGUGCAUUCCAUUGUAGAAUCUGGAAUAUGCAAUGUUUAUGUUAGUUCAUACGUUGCACAUGAUGUUUAAAUGCCCCUUAAAUCUGGUCAGUCAAGUGAUGGUCUUUAAGCCUCCUUCUUUGCUUCUUUUCUUGAUAUGUAAGAUUUGCUCACACAUCUGUUCAAUUGCUUGUUUGCAUCAGCCAGCCAUACUAGGACUGUUUGCUUUGAUUACUUGCUGUUCUUGACCUAACACUCUAACAGAACUUGUCAACAAUUUAAACACUAAGGUCUGCUGUAGUGGGGUCUUUUCUAACUCAUAGGUGACAUAAAGGUUUGGCUGUACAGUAAAGUAGGCUCUCCAAGAGUACCUGGAGAUCCAGUUCGAAGGUAUGCCUAGUUUUUACAUAGUGCACACAUAGUAAAUGCUCAUUUCAUUGUGUGCAAGUGCAAGAGAUGCGGCAUGUUUCAUUAUGUGGUGUUGUUUUGUUAUAAUCUCAUCCUUUUGUGUUCAUAGACUGGAAAGUAUGCAUAUUUAUCUUCCAAGGAGACGAGUAACUAGUUUGUGUCACCUUGCAGAGGGGGUGCAAUGAAGAUAAGAUUGAGGAUUUCCAAGUACAAGAUGUUAGGAAGGAGCCUUGCAAGAGAAGUAGGAGCUGCGCUGAGCCUCUUCAACCUGUUAAGGCAAGUCACUGUAUCCAACUCAACAGUUCAAUUCCUUGUUUGUUUCAGGCAUAGUUAAUUUGCUCUUUUCAAUUGCUUUAUUUGUCCUCAGUUAAUGAGAUUCCCAAAGAAUGAUGCCUGAUGUUGGGUACUUGUAUAACUAUUAGUUGACAUAAUUAAAGGCCUUACCAUUUAAUUACUCUGCUGAAGUGUGCCUGAAGCUUUGAAGUCUAUUAACCAACUAUUAUUGAAUGAGGCUCACAAUCUAGUUUUUACUAGGCUAAUGAUUGCAUAGUUUUGCUUGCUGUAGUAUGUUUGUAUGAAAUCCUCUGUUGUUCAUUAUGCUCCCUAAGACUUUAAUUGAGCUACAGAAUGGCCAACUGCUUGCUUACUUCUAUGCAACGUGUUGUCUAAAUUUGUAACUUGUCUGUGUUUUGGAUUGGGCCCCAACAUCAUGCUCCUCUGGUGAGCUAAGAGAGAUUUCUGUAUGCAGGCUGCACAGACUACCUUUUUUAUAAUUUUUAAAAUAUCACCUGCUUAUGCUUCAUGACGUGUAACAUUAUUGUUAGUCUUGUUUUGCCAUGUACAAAAUAGUCUGUCUUGCUCGCUUCACUGUUGUAACUAUAUUUUUGCCCUAGUCAUGUGUACUUACAGAAACAUUUCAGGAUGAAGUGACAUCAACACAAAGAUCUGCGAGCAGUGCGGCAUGGCCGUUACCGGAUGAUUAUGGAUUGGAAUUGGAAUGUGCUGAUGUUCUCGAGCAUCAACUAGAGGUGGCAAGACAACGUGUACAUGAUUCUAAACGUACAAUCAAUAAGUUGAGACUGGACAUGCAGGUAUUAGAUGAAGGAGUCAAAAAAAUGAAACAAGACACUGAGGUAACAACGAAGGAAUUGGAGAUUUUGCAGACUGAAAUUUCUGCUAUCUAAAUCCAGCCAAUCCUAUUUUCUGAAGAGAUUAUAGUUCAAAUGGUAACUUAUGUUGAUGCGCGUCCAUGAUGUAUGAGCUGUAUUUGCCCAGUGUAUGUAAUUUGCUAUUUGUGUAUGCUUUAUUAUCACUGGUGCCGAACCAUAAUGCCCAGUGGGUAUAAUCGGCUGUAAUUUCUUUAUUGUAUAGUGUAGGAUUAUUCUACGUUUCUAUGCCUUAGUCUCUUUAUUGUAUAGUGUAUGUUUUUUAGAGGUGAUAGUAUAGAGUAGGAUAAUUCUUUGAAUAUGCUAUAUCGUUCAAACGGGGCCCAACUCGCCCAAACGUUGUAGUGACCAUGGCCCUCCACAGGCCGUACGUUCCAUGGGCCAUCUACGGGACGGACCCGUCGGAUUCGUGGGCCUUCUAUGGGCUGUCGGAUCCGUUGCCCUUCUAUCGGGUGUCGGAUCCAUGGGCCUUCCAUGGGCCAGCGGAUCCAUGGGCCUCCUAUGGGCCGUCGGGUCAAUGGGCCUUCUACGGGUCGUCUCAUCUAUGGGCCUUGUACGGGCCGUAUAAGGGGUCGUAAACGGGCUAGAGUGGAAAUCGUACGUUUUAUGGGCUGACCAUAACGGGCCGUUAAACGGCCGUAUUUGAUGAUGUUAUGAAAAUGGCCCCACAGAUUAAAGGGCCACAAACGGGUCGACUGUGUCCACUGGCUGAAUUUGGCCCACAAGCAGAAAAGGCCUGUAACGGGUCGUAAGUAAAUGAAUGCUGGAAAUGAGCCCAAGAAUAAAUGGGCCCUGAGAAGGCCGAAAGAUAACAUGGGCUGGAAACGGCCCAACGGUAUAAUGGGCCGUUAAUGGGUAUAAAGUGAUACACUGUUCAUCACGGGCCAGUUUUACCACGGGUCAUUAACGGGCCGAGGGUUACUAAGGGCCUCAGAUGGGCCAAAAGACGUCAUGGUCCAUACAUGGGCCGGAAGUUAAAACGGGCUGGAAUUAUAUUGGACGGCCCAGAUGACGCUACUGGGCCUAAUUUGGAUAGGCCGUAAACGGGCCCUGGGUUAGCGGGCUGUAAAUGGGCUAUAUGCGAACAUGCCGUUAAUAGGCUUGCCGUGGGCUGGCCCGCCACCUUUUGACCAAGUCAAAUGGGCCGGCCUUUUCACAAGAAUGGGCCUCUGUUGGGUCAUGCCAUGUGUCGACGUAUCAUAGGCGCUUUGGGUCCAAUGAGUGGGUGACAUCUGUCCCAACGGUGAGCCGACACGUGUUUCCUCCAACCAAUGAUGAUUUUACAUGUGGAAAAUCCCCAUCGGUCGGGGCUGUUAACGGGUUAUCGGAUCCAAAACCGGACCUGAUAGCUUAACGGCGUUCCGUUACGGUGGAUGCCACGUGUCGGUCACCCUUGACGAAAGCACUUCUGUGACGCGCGAUUUAUCGUCAUGGAAGUGGACACUUUCGUGAUGAUAAUUUUGGUAAUGUCAUGGAACACUUCUACGACAGCACAGGUAUGACUAUCUUGAUUCUGUCAUAAAUUUGUCAUGGAUGUACAUGCAUGACAAAAAAUGUGACCUACUGUGACAAACACGUAUCAUCACGGAAGUGUAUUUUUUUGUAGUGUAUGCACGUGUGGCAUCAUAAACUGUUAAAUAAAAGGUUCCUAGUCUUGCCUCUAGGACUAGCUCAAGUGUUGUUAGUGAUCAUGUUUUCUGGAUAUUAGGAUAUCGUUAAGUGUUAAACGAUAGUCCUAAAACAACAUUGAGAUUAUGAUGUUGGAAGAACGAUCAUAUUGAAUCGACCCGAUCUUGUCCGUUAUGAGUUGAGUUAAUAUCGUCUGUAAUAAAUUGUAAUGACACGGAGUAUUAACGUGUGAUUUUGCUCCUUAGAUCGUGAAAGUAUCGUAGUCACUUCUUACCAUACGGUGGGCUUUGUAGUUGCUCAAACGUCACCUUAGUGUGUCUGCAUCCAUCAUCGUCUGCCCAGACACAGGUGACUAUCGUCACGGGGAUGCCAGUACAUGAUAACGAGAAAGAAGAACAAAACCAGUAAUGAGGAUAACGGUAUGGUGAGCAAGUGAUGACUCAGAAGGAUACAGAUGCAUCUCGGGUUUUGUGAAGUAUCGCGAAGCAAAGGGAACAUCACAUGAUAACCAAAGGUUCACUCGAAUAGCAUUAGUGUGCUCAUAGGGAUCGAUAUGGACGUCCAUGGCUCCGCUGUCAAUCAUUGAACGAAGGGGUUUCGUUCAUGUCUAUGAGUUACCGAACCUACGGGGUCACAAGGUUAAGGCAAUAAUGAUCUGCUCAGUGUUAGUAGGAUGGGACUGAUGAUAAUAUAUUUGUGAAAUUGUUUCAUUAAUAUUCGGAACAGUUUCGAGAGGAUCUGGAAGCGUUUCGGGGUCAUCGAAAGGGUUUUGGAUGUUUUCAGAAAUGUUCUAGUGCGCGGACACUUUGGUUGGGCCAAGGGGUAAGGCCCAUGAGGCUUUAGGUCGGUGCAAAAGGGGUUUUGCGGAGAUCAGGGACCAGACGCCGGGGAUGCCUAGGUCUGAGGCAUUUCCAGAAACGCCAGGAACCUUGUCGUUUCAUGUUGGAAACCGAGGAGGACUUUUCUGUUGGGGAACGUAGUAAUUUCAAAAAAAAAAUCCUACGCACACGCAAGAUCAUGGUGAUGCAUAGCAACGAGAGGGGAGAGUGUGUCCACGUACCCUCGUAGACCAAAAGCGGAAGCGUUAGCACAACGCGGUUGAUGUAGUCGUACGUCUUCACGAUCCAACCGAUCAAGUACCAAACGCACGGCACCUCCGAGUUCAGCACACGUUCAACUCGAUGACGUCCCUCGAACUCUGAUCCAGCCGAGCUUUGAGGGAGAGUUCCGUCAGCACGACGGUGUGGUGACGAUGAUGAUGUUCUACCGACGCAGGGCUUCGCCUAAGCACCGCUACGAUAUGACUGAGGUGGAUUAUGGUGGAGGGGGGCACCGCACACGUCUAAGAGAUCCAAGGGAUCAAUUGUUGUGUCUAUGGGGUGCCCCCUGAGGGAGUCCUGGAUUAGGGGGUCCUCGGACAGCCGGACUAUAUACUUUGGCCGGACUGUUGGACUAUGAAGAUAUAAGAUUGAAGACUUCGUCCCGUGUCCGGAUGGGACUCUCCUUUGCGUGGAAGGCAAGCUUGGCAAUUCGGAUAUGUAGAUCUCCUCCCUUGUAACCGACUCUGUGUAACCCUAGCCCCCUCCGGUGUCUAUAUAAACUGGAGAAUUUAGUCCUUAGGACAACAACAAUGAUAAUCAUAGGCUAGCUUCUAGGGUUUAGCCUCUAUGAUCUCGUGGUAGAUCAACUAUUAUAAUACUCAUAUCAUCAAGAUCAAUCAAGCAGGAAGUAGGGAAUUACCUCCAUCGAGAGGGCCCGAACCUAGGUAAACAUUGUGUCCCCCCCCUCCUGUUACCAUCCGCCUUAGACGCAUAGUUCGGGACCCCCUACCCGAGAUCCGCCGGUUUUGACACCGACACCCCCCUCCCCCGUAUAUAAAGGAGUGGAGGAGGGGGAGAGGGCUGGCCCCUAUGGCGCGCCCUAGAGGAGUCCUACUCCCACCGGGAGUAAGAUUCCUCCCCUUCCAAGUAGUAGGAGUAGGAGACAAGGAAGGGGGAGAGGGAAGAGAAGGAAGGAGGGGGCGCCGCCCCUCCCCCUAGUCCAAUUUAGACUAGUCAUUGGGGCACGCGUGGCCUGCCUCUCUCUAUCCCCUAAAGCCCAAUAAGGCCCAUAUACUUCUUCCCCCGUAUUCCCGUAACUCCCCGGUACUCCGAAAAAUACCCGGACCACUCGGAACCUUUCCGAUGUCCGAAUAUAGUCAUCCAAUAUAUCGAUCUUUACGUCUCGACCAUUUCGAGACUCCUCGUCAUGUCCCCGAUCUCAUCCGGGACUCCGAACUAUCUGCGGUACAUCAAAACACAAAACUCGUAAUAUCGAUCGUCAUCUAACUUUAAGCGUGCGGACCCUACGUGUUCGAGAACUAUGUAGACAUGAUCGAGACACGUCUCCGGUCAAUAACCAAUAGUGGAACCUGGAUGCUCAUAUUGGCUCCCACAUAUUCUACGAAGAUCUUUAUCGGUCAAACCGCAUAACAACAUACGUUGUUCCCUUUGUCAUCGGUAUGUUACUUGCCCGAGAUUCGAUCGUAGGUAUCUCAAUACCUAGUUCAAUCUCGUUACCGGCAAGUCUCUUUACUCGUUCUGUAAUACAUCAUCCCGCAACUAACUCAUUAGUUGCAAUGCUUGCAAGGCUUAUAGUGAUGUGCAUUACCGAGUGGGCCCAGAGAUACCUCUCCGACAAUCGGAGUGACAAAUCCUAAUCUCAAAAUACGCUAACCCAACAAGUACCUUCGGAGACACCUGUAGAGUACCUUUAUAAUCACUCAGUAACGUUGUGACGUUUGGUAGCACACAAAGUGUUCCUCCGUUAAACAGGAGUUGCAUAAUCUCAUAGUCAUGGAACAUGUAUAAGUCAUGAAGAAAGCAAUAGCAACAUACUAAACGAUCAAGUGCUAAGCUAGCGGAAUGGGUCAAGUCAAUCAUAUCAUUCUCCUAAUGAUGUGAUCCCGUUAAUCAAAUGACAACUCAUGUCUAUAGCUAGGAAACAUAACCAUCUUUGAUCAACGAGCUAGUCAAGUAGAGGCAUACUAGUGACACUCUGUUUGUCUAUGUAUUCACACAUGUAUCAUGUUUCUGGUUAAUACAAUUCUAGCAUGAAUAAUAAACAUUUAUCAUGAAAUAAGGAAAUAAAUAAUAAAUUUAUUAUUGCCUCUAGGGCAUAUUUCCUUCAGUCUCCCACUUGCACUAGAGUCAAUAAUCUAGUUCACAUGGUCAUGUGAUUUAACAUCAAUAAUUUACAUCACUAUGUAAUUAACACCCAUAGUUCACAUCAUCAUGUGACCAACACCCAAAGGGUUUACUAGAGUCAAUAAUCUAGUUCACAUCGCUAUGUGAUUAACACCCAAAGAGUACUUAGGUGUGAUCAUGUUUUGCUUGUGAGAGAAGUUUAGUCAACGGGUCUGCCACAUUCAGAUCCGUAUGUAUUUUGCAAAUAUUCUAUGUCUACAAUGCUCUGCACGGAGCUACUCUAGCUAAUAGCUCCCACUUUCAAUAUGUAUCUAGAUCAAGACUUAGAGUCAUCCAGAUCGGUGUCAAAGCUUGCAUCGACGUAACUCUUUACGACGAACCUUUUAUCACCUCCAUAAUCGAGAAACAUAUCCUUAUUCCAUUAAGGAUAAUUUUGACCGAUGUCCAGUGAUCUACUCCUAGAUCACUAUUGUACUCCCUUGCCAAACUCAGUGUAGGGUAUACAAUAGAUCUGGUACAUAGCAUGGCUUACUUUAUAGAACCUAUGGCUGAGGCCUAGGGAAUGACUUUCAUUCUCUUUCUAUCUUCUGCAGUGGUCGGGCAUUGAGUCUUACUCAACUUCACACCUUGUAACACAGGCAAGAACCCUUUCUUUGCCUGAUCCAUUUUGAACUUCUUCAAAACUUUGUCAAGGUAUGUACUCAUUGAAAAAACUUAUCAAGCGUCUUCAUCUAUCUCUAUAGAUCUUGAUGCUCAAUAUGUAAGCAGCUUCACCGAGGUCUUUCUUUGAAAAAACUCCUUUAAAAUACUCCUUUAUGCUUUCCAAAAAAUUCUACAUUAUUUCCGAUCAAAAAUAUGUCAUUCACAUAUACUUAUCAGAAAUGUUGUAGUGCUCCCACUCACUUUCUUGUAAAUAUAGGCUUCACCGCAAGUCUGUAUAAAACUAUAUGCUUUGAUCAACUCAUCAAAGCGUAUAUUCCAACUUCGAGAUGCUUGCACCAAUCCAUAGAUGGAUCGCUGGAGCUUGCACACUUUGUUAGCAUCCUUUGGAUCGAUAAAACCUUCAGGUUGCAUCAUAUACAACUCUUCUUCCAGAAAUCCAUUCAGGAAUGCAAUCUUUACAUCCAUUUGCCAAAUUUCAUAAUCAUAAAAUGCGGCAAUUGCUAACAUGAUUCGGACGGACUUAAGCAUCGCUACGGGUGAGAAAGUCUCAUCGUAGUCAACUCCUUGAACUUUGUCAAAAACCUUUUUCGACAAGCCUAGCUUUGUAGAUAGUAACACUACUAUCAGCGUCCGUCUUCCUCUUGAAGAUCCAAUUAUUUUCUAUGCCUUGCCGAUCAUCGGGCAAGUCAACCAAAGUCCACACUUUGUUCUCAUACAUGGAUCUCAUCUCAGAUUUCAUGGCCACAAGCCAUUUUGCGGAAUCUGGGCUCAUCAUCGCUUCUUCAUAGUUCGUAGGUUAGUCAUGGUCAAGUAACAUGACCUCCAGAACAGGAUUACCGUACCACUCUGGUGCGGAUCUCACUCUGGUUCACCUACAAGGUUCGGUAGUAAGUUGAUCUGAAGUUACAUGAUCAUCAUCAUUAGCUUCCUCACUAAUUGGGGUAGGAGUCACAGGAACAGAUUUAUGUGAUGGACUACUUUCCAAUAAGGGAGCAGGUACAGUUACCUCAUCAAGUUCUACUUUCAUCCCACUCACUUCUUUCGAGAGAAACUCCUUCUCUAGAAAGGAUCUAUUCUUAGCAACGAAUGUCUUGCCUUCGGAUCUGUGAUAGAAGGUGUACCCAACUGUCUCCUUUGGGUAUCCUAUGAAGACAUAUUUCUCCGAUUUGGGUUUGAGCUUAUCAAGAUGAAACUUUUUCACAUAAGCAUCGCAACCCCAAAAUUUAAGAAACGACAAAUUUGGUUUCUUGCCAAACCACAGUUCAUAAGGCGUCGUCUCAACGGAUUUAGAUGGUGCCCUAUUUAAUGUGAAUGCAGCUGUCUCUAAUGCAUAACCCCAAAACGAUAGUGGUAAAUCGGUAAGAAACAUCAUAGAUUGCACUAUAUCCAAUAAAGUACGGUUAUGACGUUCAGACACACCAUUAUGCUGUGGUGUUCCAGGUGGCACGAAUUUGUGAAACUAUUCCACAUUGUUUUAAUUGAAGACCAAACUCGUAACUCGAAAAAUUUUCUCCGCGAUCAGAUCGUAGAAACUUUAUUUUCUUGUCACGAUGAUUUUCCACUUCACUCUGAAAUUCUUUGAACUUUUCAAAUGUUUCAGACUUAUGUUCCAUCAAGUAGAUAUACCCAUAUCUACUCAAAUCAUCUGUGAAGGUCAGAAAAUAACGAUACCCGCCGUGAGCCUCAACACUCAUCGGACCGCAUACAUCAGUAUGUAUUAUUUCCAAUAAGUCAGUUGCUCGCUCCAUUGUUUCGGAGAACGGAGUCUUAGUCAUCUUGCCCAUAAGGCAUGGUUCGCAAGCAUCAAGUGAUUCCAAAAUCCCAUCAGCAUGGAGUUUCUUCAUGCGCUUUUACACCAAUAUGACCUAAACGGCAGUGCCACAAAUAAGUUGCACUAUCAUUAUUAACUUUGCAUCUUUUGGCUUCAAUAUUAUGAAUAUGUGUAUCACUACGAUCGAGAUCCAACAAACUAUUUUCAUUGGGUGUAUGACCAUCAAAAGUUUUAUUCAUGUAAACAGAACAACAAUUAUUCUCUAACUUAAAUGAAUAACGGUUUUGCAAUAGACAUGAUCAAAUCAUAUUCAUGCUCAACGCAAACACCAAAUAACAUUUAUUUAGGUUCAACACUAAUCUCGAAAGUAUAGGGAGUGUGCGAUGAUGAUCAUAUCAAUCUUGGAACUACUUCCAACACACAUCGUCACUUCACCCUUAACUAGUUUCUGUUCAUUCUGCAACUCCCGUUUCGAGUUACUACUCUUAGCAACUGAACCAGUAUCAAAUACCGAAGGGUUGCUAUAAACACUAGUAAAGUACACAUCAAUAACAUGUAUAUCAAAUAUACUUUUGUUCACUUUGCCAUGCUUCUUAUCCGCCAAAUACUUGGGGCAGUUCCGCUUCCAGUGACCAGUCCCUUUGCAGUAGAAGCACUUAGUCUCAGGCUUAGGUCCAGACUUGGGCUUCUUCACUUGAGCAGCAACUUGCUUGAUGUUCUUCUUGAAGUUCCCCUUCUUCCCUUUGCCCCUUUUCUUGACACUAGUGGUCUUGUCAACCAUCAACACUUGAUGUUUUUCUUGAUUUCUACCUUCGCCGAUUUUAGCAUCGCGAAGAGCUUGGGAAUUGUUUUCGUCAUCCCUUGCGCAUUAUAGUUCAUCACGAAGUUCUACUAACUUGGUGAUAGUGACUAGAGAACUUUGUCAAUUACUAUCUUAUCUGGAAGAUUAACUCCCACUUGAUUCAAGCAAUUGUAGUACCCAGACAAUCUGAGCACAUACUCACUGAUUGAGCUAUUCUCCUCCAUCUUUUAGGCAAAGUACUGCCAGAGGUAUCAUACCUCUCGACACGGGCAUGAGUCUGAAAUACUAAUUUCAACUCUUGGAACAUCUUAUAUGCUCCAUCACAUUUCAAAAACGUUUUUGAAUCCCCGAUUCUAAGUCGUAAAGCAUGGUGCACUAAACUAUCAAGUAGUCAUCAUAUCGAGCUUGCAAAACGUUCAUAACAUCUGCAUUUGCUCCUGCAAUCGGUCUAUCACCUAGCGGUGCAUCAAGGACAUAAUUCUUCUGUGCAGCAAUGAGGAUAAUCCUCAGAUCACGGAUCCAAUCCGCAUCAUUGCUACUAACAUUUUUCAACUUAGUUUUCUCUAGGAACAUAUCAAAAUAAAACAGGGGAGCUAAACGCGAGCUAUUGAUCUACAACAUAGAUAUGCUAAUACUACCAGGACUAAGUUCAUGAUAAAUUAAAGUUCAAUUAAUCAUAUUACUUAAGAACUCCCACUUAGAUAGACAUCCCUCUAAUCAUCUAAGUGAUCACGUGAUCCAAAUCAACUGAACCAUGUCCGAUCAUCACGUGAGAUGGAGUAGUUUUCAAUGGUGAACAUCAGUAUGUUGAUCAUAUCUACUAUAUGAUUCACGCUCGACCUUUCGGUCUCAGUGUUCCGAGGCCAUAUCUGCAUAUGCUAGGCUCGUCAAGUUUAACCCGAGUAUUCUGCGUGUGCAAAACUGGCUUGCACCCGUUGUAGAUGAACGUAGAGCUUAUCACACCCGAUCAUCACGUGGUGUCUCGGCACGACGAACUUUGGCAACGGUGCAUACUCAGGGAGAACACUUUUAUCUUGAAAUUUAGUGAGAGAUCAUCUUAUAAUGCUACCGUCAACCAAAGCAAAAUAAGAUGCAUAAAGGAUAAACAUCACAUGCAAUCAAUAUAAGUGAUAUGAUGUGGCCAUCAUCAUCUUGUGCUUGUGAUCUCCAUCUCCGAAGCACCGUCAUGAUCACCAUCGUCACCGGCGUGACACCUUGAUCUCCAUUGUAGCAUCGUUGUCGUCUCGCCAACUAUUGCUUCCACGACUAUCGCUACCGCUUAGUGAUAAAGUAAAGCAUUAUAGGGUGAUUGCAUUGCAUACAAUAAAGCGACAACCAUAUGGCUCCUGCCAGUUGCCGAUAACUCGGUUACAAAACAUGAUCAUCUCAUACAAUAAAAUAUAGCAUCAUGCCUUGACCAUAUCACAUCACAACAUGCCCUGCAAAAACAAGUUAGACGUCCUCUACUUUGUUGUUGCAAGUUUUACGUGGCUGCUACGGGCUGAGCAAGAACCGUUCUUACCUAUGCAUCAAAACCACAAUGAUAGUUCGUCAAGUUAGUGUUGUUUUAACCUUCUCAAGGACUGGGCGUAGCCACACUCGGUUCAACUAAAGUUGGAGAAACUGACCCCCGCCAGCCACCUGUGUGCAAAGCACGUCGGUAGAACCAGUCUCGCGUAAGCGUACGCGUAAUGUCGGUCUGGGCCGCUUCAUCCAACAAUACCGCUGAACCAAAUUAUGACAUGCUGGUAAGCAGUAUGACUUGUAUCGCCCACAACUCACUUGUGUUCUACUCGUGCAUAUAACAUCUACGCAUAAAACCUGGCUUGGAUGCCACUGUUGGGGAAUGUACUAAUUUCAAAAAAAAUCCUACGCACACGCAAGAUCAUGGUGAUGCAUAGCAACGAGAGGGGAGAGUGUGUCCACGUACCCUCGUAGACCGAAAGCGGAAGCAUUAGCACAACGCGGUUGAUGUAGUCGUACGUCUUCACGAUCCAACCGAUCAAGUACCAAAUGCACGGCACCUCCGAGUUCAGCACACGUUCAACUCGAUGACGUCCCUCAAACUCCGAUCCAGCCGAGCUUUGAGGGAGAGUUCCGUCAGCACGACGGCGUGGUUACGAUGAUGAUGUUCUACCGACACAGGGCUUCGCCUAAGCACCGCUAUGAUAUGACCGAGGUGGAUUAUGGUGGAGGGGGCACCGCACACAGCUAAGAGAUCCAAUGGAUCAAUUGUUGUGUCUAUGGGGUGCCCCCUGAGGGAGUCCUGGAUUAGGGGGUCCUCGGACAGCCGGACUAUAUACUUUGGCCGGACUGUUGGACUAUGAAGAUAUAAGAUUGAAGACUUCGUCCCGUGUCUGGAUGGGACUCUCCUUUGCGUGGAAGGCAAGCUUGGCAAUUCGGAUAUGUAGAUCUCCUCCCUUGUAACCGACUCUGUGUAACCCUAGCCCCCUCCGGUGUCUAUAUAAACCAGAGGGUUUAGUCCGUAGGACAACAACAAUGAUAAUCAUAGGCUAGCUUCUAGGGUUUAGCCUCUACGAUCUUAUGGUAGAUCAACUAUUGUAAUACUCAUAUCAUCAAGAUCAAUCAAGCAGGAAGUAGGGAAUUACCUCCAUCGAGAGGGCCCGAACCUGGGUAAACAUUGUGUCCCCCGCCUCCUGUUACCAUCCGCCUUAGACGCACAGUUCGGGACCCCCUACCCGAGAUCCGCCGGUUUUGACACCGACACCCCCCUCCCCCGUAUAUAAAGGAGUGGAGGAGGGGGAGAGGGCCGGCCCCUAUGGCGCACCCUGGAGGAGUCCUACUCCCACCAAGAGUAGGAUUCCUCCCCUUCCAAGUAGUAGGAGUAGGAGACAAGGAAGGGGGGAGGGAAGAGAAGGAAGGAGGGGGCGCCGCCCCUCCCCAUAGUCCAAUUCGGACUAGUCAUUGGGGGGACGCGCGGCCUGCCUCUCUCUAUCCCCUAAAGCCCAAUAAGGCCCAUAUACUUCUUCCCCCGUAUUCCCGUAACUCCCCGGUACUCCGAAAAAUACCCGAACCACUCGGAACCUUUCCGAUGUCCGAAUAUAGUCGUCCAAUAUAUCGAUCUUUACGUCUCGACCAUUUCGAGACUCCUCGUCAUGUCCCCGAUCUCAUCCGGGACUCCGAACUACCUUUGGUACAUCAAAACACAAAACUCAUAAUAUGAUCGGCAUCUAACUUUAAGCGUGCGGACCCUACGGGUUCGAGAACUAUGUAGACAUGACCGAGACACGUCUCCGGUCAAUAACCAAUAGUGGAACCUGGAUGCUCAUAUUGGCUCCCACAUAUUCUACGAAGAUCUUUAUCGUUCAAACCGCAUAACAACAUACGUUGUUCCCUUUGUCAUCGGUAUGUUACUUGCCCGAGAUUCGAUCGUCGGUAUCUCAAUACCUAGUUCAAUCUCAUUACCGGCAAGUCUCUUUACUCGUUCCGUAAUACAUCAUCCCGCAACUAACUCAUUAGUUGCAAUGCUUGCAAGGCUUAUAGUGAUGUGCAUUACCGAGUGGGCCCAGAGAUAUCUCUCUGACAAUCGGAGUGACAAAUCCUAAUCUCGAAAUACGCCAAUCCAGCAAGUAUCUUCGGAGACACCUGUAGAGUACCUUUAUAAUCACCCAGUUACGUUGUGACAUUUGAUAGCACACAAAGUGUUCCUCCGGUAAACGGGAGUUGCAUAAUCUCAUAGUCAUAGAAUCAUGUAUAAGUCAUGAAGAAAGCAAUAGCAACAUACUAAAUGAUCAAAUGCUAAGCUAACGGAAUGGGUCAAGUCAAUCACAUCAUUCUCCUAAUGAUGUGAUCCCAUUAAUCAAAUGACAACUCAUGUCUAUGGCUAGGAAACAUAACCAUCUUUGAUCAACGAGCUAGUCAAGUAGAGGCAUACUAGUGACACUCUGUUUGUCUAUGUAUUCACACAUGUAUCAUGUUUCCGGUUAAUACAAUUCUAGCAUGAAUAAUAAACAUUUAUCAUGAAAUAAGGAAAUAAAUAAUAACUUUAUUAUUGUCUCUAGGGCAUAUUUCCUUCAUUUUCCUUGCGUUCCAAACCGACUUUGGGGAGGCCCUCUCCCCAAGUUACGACCCCAAGGCUCAACAUAUAAAUAGAGGGGUAGGGCUAGCCCCUAGAACAUAGGUUUUGAAGCUCCUCAAGUUCUCUCUUGAUCUAGUUCUCGUCUACUUUGAUCUAGACUAGAUCUAGUGUUAGUUUUCUCUAAAUCAUCAUAAUAGAGAAACCCUGUGUGGUUCUCUUCUUCUCCCUCUAUUUCUGCGGCGACGAUUAGCUCUGGACGGCGAAGCGCUGCCGGAUGAUGAAGACUUUAUGCUUGCAAUCUGUGGAGAGGCCAUGCUUUCGGUCUUCCAUUCAAGGGACAGUUCAUGAGCAGUUUGAGGGAUCGUUCAUCUACGGUUCGAGGGACUUCAAGUACGAUCUACACCGUCUCGUCUACUUCUGCUGCACUACGGAGUCGGCAACGAUCGUUGAUCCAAACCUUAGAUGCAUCUUCAUAUUGUUCCUGGGUGAUCGUACGGCAAAAAAAAUCAUUUUCUACUACGUUUCCCAACAUCAUGACACAACUAUUUGGAGGGCAAAGCCUAAGAGCAUCUCCAGCCGUUGGCCCCCCCAGGACGCAUAAAAAUCGCCCCCUGGGGGCGAGCCGGCGAUACAAUCGGCGCUGGGGGCGGUUUUGCGCCCAGUCGUCGCCCCCAGGUUGCCCCCAGGCGCCGAUAUUGGCCCACUUUUCAGCCCCCUUUCAGCGAAUAAAGGGCCCAUAUGGGCGAGAAUAUGCCCAUAUUCGGCGUGGUUCGCCGUGGCUCGGCGUUCAAUUACCAACAUAAAUAUUUUUUAUCACAGAAAAAUCAAAUACUUCAACAAAAUAGUACAACAACAAAUAGUUCAAUACAAAUUAUAUAGUUCAACAAAUAAAAACUCAUAUUUCAUCACACGUCGCGCCCGGCGUCGCCCUUGAGCCUCCAUAGGUUCUCCACCAGAUCAUGCUGCAGCUGGUGAUGCACCUGUGGGUCUCGGAUCUCCUGACGCAUACUGAGGUAGGCAGUCCAGGUUGCCGGUAGCUGGUGAUCAACUUCGGCUAGAGGACCCUGCCUGUAGUAUGGUUCAGUGUCAAACACUGGGUCUUCUUGCUCGCUCUCGAUGAUCAUGUUGUGCAAGAUGACACAGCAAGUCAUGAUCUCCCACAUUUGAUCUUUCGACCAGGUCUGAGCAGGGUAUUGGACAACAGCAAAUCGAGAUUGGAGCACACCAAAUGCUCGCUCGACAUCCUUCCGGCAAGCCUCCUGCACCUUGGCAAAGUGGGACUUCUUGCCUCCUGGCACAACGUUUGAGAUAGUCUUCACAAAUGUAGACCAUCUCGGAUAGAUGCCAUCAGCUAGGUAGUACCCCAUGUUGUAGUGCCGCCCAUUGAUCUCGAAGUUCACCGGAGGAGAAUGGCCUUCAACAAGCUUGGCAAAGACAAGAGAGCACUGCAGCACGUUGAUGUCAUUGUGAGUUCCUGGCAUACCAACGAAGGAGUGCCAAAUCCAGAGGUCCUGUGUGGCCACCGCCUCAAGUACCACACUGCAACCGCCUUUGGCGCCUUUGUACAUCCCCUGCCAAGCAAAUGGGCAAUUCUUCUAUUUCCAAUGCAUGCAGUCGAUGCUUCCAAGCAUCCCAGGAAAUCCUCUUGCUGCAUUCUGUGCUAGGAUCCGAGCAGUGUCUUCCGCAUUGGGUGUUCUCAAGUAUUGCGGUCCAAACACUGCCACCGCUGCCCGACAGAACUUUUAGAAACACUCUAUGCUGGUGGACUCGGCCAUGCGCCCAUAGUCACCGAGUGAAUCACCGGGAGCUCCAUAUGCAAGCAUCCUCAUCGCUGUCGUGCACUUCUGGAUCGAGGUGAAUCCAAGUUUGCCGGUGCAAUCCAUCUUGCACUUGAAGUAGUUGUCGAACUCCAGGAUGGAAUUCACAAUCCUGAGGAAGAGCUUUCGGCUCAUCCGAUAACGGCACCGAAAUGUUUUGUCGCCGUGAAGUGGAGCAUCGGCGAAGUAGUCGGAGUAGAGCAUGCAGUACCCUUCGAGUCGAUGCCGGUUCUUUGCUUUCACCCGCCCCGGCGCCGAGCCACCUCGCCGCGGCUUUUCGUUGCUCGCCAGCAGCUGGGCGAGGGCGGCGAGCACCAUGAGGUGCUCUUCUUCCUGGACGUCGGCCUCGGCUUCCUCCUCCAGCAGCGUGGCGAGCGCUUCCUCAUCAUCCGAGUCCAUCGCCGAGGCAGGCAAAUCGCCGAACACCUUGCGCCCGGUGGGCGUGCACCCGCCACUAAACUGCCCCUCCGCGGCCAGAAACGGCGGCCGAAAACGCCCAGCUGCUGUUGGAGGGGCUGCCGCGGCGAACUUCUGCUAUUUUUCCGGCGGGGAAUGGCUAUCUAGCGGUGAAGGGCGGCGGGCGGCGCCGGGAUAUAGCUAGUGGCGGCCGAGGGCGCGGGGGUUGGGAGGCGAGUCGGGGAAGAAAAUCCUGACUUUUCACCUGACGGUGGGGCCAGCCGCGCUUUUCCCUUGCGCCGGAGCCCCCGAUUGCCCCCUAGUGCGUCGGGUUCGGCCUGAGACCGUGGGCGGAAAAAAGGGCCGAACCGGCGCUUUUCGUCGUCCUGGGGGCGCGACUGGGGCUUUUUUGGUGCCGGCGCCGAAAAAGUGGCCGGGGGGGCCUAGGGGGGCGCGGCUGGAGAUGCUCUAACACUCUGAAUUCUGCUUUCUGGACUGUAAUUUUGAAGGUAAGGCCUCUUCUCAUUUCAGCAUAUAUUUAUGAAAUUGUAGAUGGCAAUAGUUCAUUGUGGAGCACCCCUUGGUUUGAAGGUUGGGAAAACAUCUAUGAUAACCUCAUCAUACAACCCCAUCCUUUUAAUUACCCUGCUCAAAUUAUGGACCUCUAGAUUCCUGGACGAAAAGUUUGGAAUGUUAAUCUAAUUAAUAUGUUAUUUUCUCUUGUUAUAGUUGAUUCAAUAAUUCACACUCCGAUUGUCUGUACUGCUAGCCAAGACAUUGUUGUUUGGAAGCUAACUCCUACAGGUCUAUUCUCUUCCAAAAGUGCAUACUUCCUUCAAAACAGAGACCAAAAACUAUACCACCACAGAUUACAGCAUUGCUCAACCAGGUAUCGAAAGAGAAACAUAUGGCUCCAAGAGUCCAAACCUUUGCUUGGAGACUUCUUAGGAAUGCACUUGCUACAGGUAAAAGGGCGGGUACUUACUCUGAAUUUAUUAGUGAAAACUACACAACUUGUGGAAAUACUGAAGAUGAAAUGCAUUUUUUUUCAUAUGCCCUUUUGCAAAAGCAGCUUGGUAUAGUUUCCCAUGGUUUAUUAAAACUAUUUCAUUGCCCAACAUAAUAGUUCAGUUUCACAAAUGAUCCAAGCCCUUCACACUUUCAAUCAUCCACAAAUAAAUGUUGUCUCACUGUAUACCUUCCUGUGGUGUCUUUGGAAAUCUCAAAACGACAAUCGCUUUUGCGGGACUACAAGGCCUCCUUCCCAGGUAUUUGCAGCAUCAAUGACGAUCAUGCAAGGAACCGGCAGUGCAUGAGGAGGCCCUUUUGCAAAGACGGGAUCACUUGAGAAUGCAAUUGAUACCAUCUCCUGGGGAAACAAUCAUGGACAUCUCAUCUUUUCGGGUACCAUUGUUUAUACAGAUGCAGCCUGGAGUCCAGGACUUGAAGAUCAGCCAAUUGCAGCAAGUUUAAGUAUAUUUAUACAGGUUGCAGGAAAUCAACAUUAUUCACAGUUGUCCAUCUCGGCAGUCAGUGAGACUACAAAGUAGUCAACUCGACUGGAACUGACAAAGCAGUGCAUGAGGAGGCCCUUUUGCAAAGCCAGGAUCACUUGAGAAUGCAAUUGAUACCAUCUCCUAGGGAAACAAUCAUGGACAUCUCAUCUUUUUCAGGUACCAUUGUUUAUACAGAUCAGCCAACUGUAGCAGGUUUAGGUACAUUUAUACAGUUUGCAGGAAAACAACAGUGUUCAUAACUGUGCAUCUGGGCCGUCUCCCCACCGACGACAUCAGCUAUCCAAGCCAAAGCAAGCCCAUUCUUGCUCCAGGUCAUUGGACACUAAGGCCACAGCUUGCAUGCAUAACAGCUUAUUUAGCCUUUGAUGCUACAAGAAUUUAUCAUAUCAAUAGGAGCUACAACUUCCGAUCACACACCAAGUUAGAUUAGCAAUCAGAAGUCAAAACUUUUCUUACAAGUUUAAAUGUUUAGGUUCGGGCAAUGGUUUCUUGCCUUAAUGCAGCAGCAGUUGAACUUUCUUUUGUUCUGCAAUGUAAGGUUCUACAUGUGCGAUGCUGCUAAUCUAUGAAAUUAUUUGAGUUCAAAAAAAAAACUAGCAAACAUUCAAUUUGAGUGUGGCUAGAUCAUCGAUUGAGAUUUAACCAAAUCUCAGUCAAGUGAGAUACUCCCUCCGUCCCACAAUAUAAGAACGUUUUUGACACUACACAAGUGUUAAAAACGUUCUUAUAUUAUGGGACGAAGGGAGUAGUAUAUAAAAAAAACUAAAAAGAUAAUUUUGCACGGAUCCACAAGAUCAAACGAAUAUAGCAUCGACUGAGAAAAUUCUCAAUCAACUGAGACUAGCAAAAUUGGUUUCAAACUCGACUUGUUUAAAAAAAACGCUGGCAGCCAGAACUCUUUUCUAGUAAGUAGCAGGAUUUUUCCUGCUCUCCUAAAAAAAGGGCAAACUACCAAGCAAAUUAAACGAGCAAACUAUGCAUCUCCAUUCAAAUGUAGAAGCUGCUGGUUAGACAUGACACAAUCAUCAGAUGUGAAUAAUGGUUCUAUAUGUCCUUUAUUGUGAGCCCCACUUACAUAACAUCAGCAUCUACAGAAUCGCUUGCAUGUUUGACAAUAAUAUGCGAUGGUGCAGUAAAAGCUCGUUCUGUUCACAAUGAAAGCAUGACAGGUAAUGGCGACAUAACCAAAAUGACUUGAAUCGAUGAGUAAUGACUAUUCAAGCAUUGAAGUGGAAGAGGUCUUUCAC
rnacentral:lncRNA from 1 species